AACGAACGCUGGCGGCGUGCCUAACACAUGCAAGUCGUGCGAGAAAGUUCCUUCGGGAGCGAGUAAAGCGGCGCACGGGUGAGUAACACGUAGGUAACCUGCCCCCCAGUCUGGAACAACUAGAGGAAACUCUAGCUAAUGCCGGAUGAGACCACGAUCCCUUCGGGGGUUGCGGCCAAAGAUGGCCUCUACUUGUAAGCUAUCGCUGAGGGAUGGGCCUGCGGGCCAUUAGCUUGUUGGUGAGGUAACGGCUCACCAAGGCUGUGAUGGCUAGCUGGUCUGAGAGGAUGACCAGCCACACUGGGACUGAGACACGGCCCAGACUCCUACGGGAGGCAGCAGUGGGGAAUAUUGCGCAAUGGGCGAAAGCCUGACGCAGCGACGCCGCGUGGGUGAUGAAGGCCUUCGGGUCGUAAAGCCCUGUCGCAGGGGAAGAAUAAGCAUCGGUAUAAUACGCCGGUGCCCUGACGGUACCCUGCAAGAAAGCACCGGCUAACUCCGUG
rnacentral:rRNA from 1 species